CAGCAGUGGCCCCAAUCAACUGGAGAGAGGGCUAGCGCAAAUUGUGGCACCGGCAACUCGCUGAGGCACUUCCUGUUGCAGGUUGCGGUGCCGCGGCGAAUCGUGGCAGCUGCCUCGAGUUUACGGCAACUGCCUCGCCUGUUGCCUCGGCUGAGUGAGGUACCUCGAAUUCAGGGGCCGGUUCAUCGGUCGAGAGAGGUACCUCCAGCGGUACCUCGAGUUAAGGGAGUCUUGCCACGACCUAACGGAGGCAUGCAACGACAAAAGGGAGCGGUGCAUCGGCUGAUAGAGGUCAAACCUGCACAGGGAGAGGGAGGGAGAGAAAGACCCACACGGCAGGAAGACAUCUAGCACCGGUUGAGAGGACCAAAGAGCAAACGGAGCACGGUGCACGGAGCACUCUGUCGCUACUCUGCGCAGACAGACACCUGACCCGGAAAUGAUGCAUCAGUGGGGCGCGAGAAGGGGGGCAGCCUUUAUAUACUACCGCUGCCCUAGUGGUCGGCAGGCGCACUUAACUGUAGCAGGACAAUCCUAUGUCCAUACUGCUACAUGUCCAUAAACGCUUAUGCUUUAUAUUUGUUUUUAAUACUGUUUGUUUUGUUUAACUUCAUUUAUUAAUUUUGUCUUCUUUGUAUCAUUUUAAAAUGUCCUUAAAACAAACCCAAAGUAAAACACCAACAGCUGUUCUAAGCACCUUAAUUAUAUAACACAGUUGUUUUGCAAAAAUGAGGAUUUUGUUAUUUGCUAUUAUUUGAAUCAACAAACAGAUGCAUUUUCUUCUAUAAUAUAAAAUCCUUAAUAAUGCUUUCUGGUUUACAUAACACAAUAUAACAAAAUACUCAUAUAUCAACAUAUCAGAAAAGUCUUGUAAGGAAUUCAUUAAUUAAAUUUGCAAACAUGGGGGUUAGACGGAAAUAUAAACAAGAAUCUUGACACGAAGAUCAGAAAAUGGUUACUUCAACUCCAGAAAGAAGAGGGGCUAAGCUCCUGGAUUUGUCUCCCAAUCCGUUGUAUCUGAAAAAAUAUAUAGAUUUUGAAUACAGGAAAUAGGACAAUGUAGAAAAAGUGAAAUAAUUUUAUGUUUCCAGUUGCUAUCUAAGAUCCUUCACAUUCUACUUAGGCUUAUAUCCCAUCCCAAUCAUUUUGCUGUUUAUUUCUACUUAAUAAAACAUCUAUUAUGUGA